GGGUGUUUAAGUGAGAAAUAUUUAAUGAGUGUUUUUUUUAAAUAAAUUAGUUGAGCAGGAAAAUUGAAGUUUUCCUUUAAUAUUCGACGGAAGGCAGAGAUAAGAGAGAGAGAGUUAUCUCACCUCAAUCUUUUUGAUUGGAAAGGGUCAGAAAGAGUCUUAGCUAAUGUCGUGUUGAAGCGGGGAAAGUUUCCAAAUUGUUAAUUAUACGAUUUCAGAAUAUUGUUUGAACAAUAGCAGGAGGAAGCAUUUCAAUCUUUUGAAACUUUAAUGGCUAUCAUUUACAGAAAUUGAAAGGGCUAUUGUUCAAAUUAAUAGAUCAAUUCUUCAAGAUUUAAGUGGCAAUAUAAUAAUAAUAUUAUUAUAUUUUGAACAUUAAAAGUAUUUGCAUGCAAAUUUACUUGAGCUUAUUUAAAUAAAUUUUUGGAUAAUAAAUAAAUUUGUUAUAUUAUCUAAUUACUUUAGAACUAGA
rnacentral:lncRNA from 1 species